UCCCUGGUGGCUCAGACGGUAAAGCAUCUGCCUACAAUGCAGGAGACCUGAGUUCAAUCCCUGGGUUGGGAA
rnacentral:tRNA from 1 species